rnacentral:rRNA from 1 species
AUUCCGCGAAUCAUCGAAUCUUUGAACGCAAGUUGCGCCCGAGGCUUGUCCAAGGGCAUUUCCGCUAGAGCGUCACC